AGAAAACCGUAGCCAACGCCAGAAGCACUUUCAGCGGGUGAAUCCGUGAAUUUGAGGAGUUUCCAAGACAAAAAACAAGGGUUAUGGGAUUGCCACGUUAUUUACACAUUCAUCACCUGAUUUACUCUAUCUACUCCUUUUCCAAAUAGAAAUUAGCAUAAAAGAAAAAAAAGGCCAGUACGCAGCCAAGUGCUGGGUCAGGCUCUUUCUGGCUCCCUCAACCUGUGAGUCCUGGCCGGGCUGCCCUUUACCCAGGAAGGCUUUUACCUGACAGCGUCCCCGGCCUCUCCUCUUCUUCCUAGGACUUUACACAACCAGAUUCAUGGCAAGUACCUGUGAUCCACCUGUUCAUGACCCAUCCUUUCCAGACUGCAGGCUCGAUGAAGACAAGUGUGUCAUCUGGUUCACGGCUAUGUCCCCGGGGCACUGGGCAAGAGGAAUAAUCAGCUAGACCUGCCUAACUCCCCAGGUCACCCCUCUUUCCGGAGAAAACGGGGAGGCUGCUAUGCCCCUGACUCUCAGCAAGGCCAAGCUAACUCCCUAGUCCUUGUAAGCUGUUCUGUCCCCACCGCACUAAGAAGUAGAGAACAGCGAGGCUAAUUUAGGACUGCAGACUUCAACUUAGAGUCAUGGGUGGUAACCAGACGACAGACUGAAAUAACCUACUUGACCUCAGAAAAAGAAUUUACUUAAGAUCUUACAAAAGUAAAGGACAUAAGAUGUUACAUAAAUAGCAGCUUAAGAGCCACGUAGUUAGGAUAUCUUACAGCCACUUAAUCUCCGAAUCUAAUAUAUGCAUCGAAUCUAACAUAUGCAUCGAUGGAAAGGGAGCAUCCUUCUGACAGCCCAGAUUUCACAGACCCCACAACCAGGAACCACUUCAAGUACACACCUAUGUUUCAUUAGACCUGUAUUUUUUUUUUUUUUUUUUUUUUUAAUUUGAGAGAGAGAGAAGGAGCACAAGUAGAGGGGGCAGGGAGAAGGAGAAGCAGGCUCCCUGCUGAGCAGGAAGCCGGCGACUUGGGGCUUGAUCCAACACCUCAGGAUCUUGACCUGAGCCUAAGACAGAUUGCUUAACGGAGUCACCCAAGGUGCCCUUCAUUUGACCUGUAUUGAUACCAACUGGGUAGAACUAAGUUAGAUGCCCGAGCAUGAAAUUCCAACCUGAUUUUCCCAAAUAUUUUAUUUGAAACUCAG
rnacentral:lncRNA from 1 species